rnacentral:lncRNA from 1 species
UAAAACAUAGUAUCUUAGAACAUAAAAAUCUCAGAAGCCCUUUGUGUGGGUUUUAAUACUUUAUUUAGCAUGCAAAAAAAUUCAGGUUGUUUUGCUUUUGCAUUAAUGGUGGCCUUUCAAGGUAGACUGAUAUUUCAAAUAAAUGCAUAGAUGUUGAACUCUGGGUAUAACUGUUGAAGUCUGUGACCCACCCUCAGGUAGGCUGCCCCUGACCUGCCUGUUAAUAUGCAGGGUCUCCCCCACCCCCAGCUGAGGAUUAACCAGAGCCUAAAAGCCAAGUGACCUGCUUUCUCCCAAGUCAGAGGCCUGUACUGACUUUUUGGCAACUUUGGAGCUUGUACUGUAGGGUUACUUCCCAGGCCAGAAAUUUGCAUCAAAGGACUAAGAAAAAUACAUCCAAAAAUAAACAUGAAAGCCAAGACUUCGUGCCAGGAACUCCAGCCACACACAUCCUGUUGGCUGGUUCUCCCGCCUCUCUGCUCACAGUUCUGCUGCUUUUAAACUGAGCGGAAGCCUGCUCGGCUGACGAGGACUUCAUGCCUGCCCCAGGCUCUCACUCCUCUGUCCGCCAGCCUUUCCACGGGGUGGCAGAAUGAUUCAGAUCCAGAGAGGAAGGGAGUGAAGUUACUAGGAGGUAACUAAAGUUAAAAAGAUCUAUAUACACAUAGGCAGUCAGAGGCAAUCAGAAAAGACUUCCUGAGCUUUCCUAGAGAGGCACCAGCCCUGGUUCUCUCUCGGGACCAAGAUCCUCUUAACAGUAACAGAUCCUAACAGGAAAUUAUCGGCGAUGAAGGUGCAUUUUGCUGUCCAGAUAAAGGACAGCUCUUCACUGGAUGUCUGAGAACACUGAGAAAAAGGAAAAGAAGGACGCAUGCCCUGCAAGAAAUAUCGGCAGUACAUGGCGGGACUUCUGGCUCCUCCUUAUGGUGUUAUGGAAACGGGCUCUAACAAUGAUAGUAAGUGAAAAAUGUGAACACUUGUAUCUAAAAAUUUGUUGUGCGGUAUGUGUUUUCAUGUGACAAAAAGAAAUAUGUCUAACGCCAGCUUGACAGAAUAAAUCUCCAGACUCUUGUGGAUAAACAGAUCCGCCAGCCCAUUCUUGGGUUCUUUUAAAAAAUUGUUCCUACAAUAUAAUUAUGUGGCCUUAGCUGAUAGAGGGAAGUAUGCUCUGGGGCUAGUUGGAACUUCAGCAUGUUUCUCAAAGGACCUUCAUCUUAAAGUAUGGUUUGGGGGCUCUUUUAAAAUGGGACUCAUGAACUGUGUUUAUCUCAGUCACAUGUAGACACCUGAGUGCCCCACCUCUUGCUUAUUUUGAUGCUCUUAAG